rnacentral:rRNA from 1 species
GAUGAACGCUAGCGGCAGGCCUCAUACAUGCAAGUCGAGGGGCAGCAUGACACUUCGGUGUUGAUGGCGACCGGCGAACGGGUGCGUAACGCGUAUGUAAUCUACCUUGUACAGGAGGAUAGCUCUCGGAAACGGGAAUUAAUACUCCAUACUAUUUUUUUGUCAUAAGGCAGAAAGAUGAAAGCUCCGGCGGUACAAGAUGAGCAUGCGUCCUAUUAGCUUGUUGGUAAGGUAACGGCUUACCAAGGCAACGAUAGGUAGGGGUUCUGAGAGGAAGAUCCCCCACACUGGCACUGAGACACGGGCCAGACUCCUACGGGAGGCAGCAGUAGGGAAUAUUGGACAAUGGGCGCAAGCCUGAUCCAGCCAUGCCGCGUGCAGGAUGAAGGUCCUAUGGAUUGUAAACUGCUUUUGUACAGGAGCAAUAAGCCCUUGCGAGGGCCCAUGAGCGUACUGUAAGAAUAAGCACCGGCUAACUCCG